rnacentral:lncRNA from 1 species
UCACUUUGAUUCAACCUCACUCUCACGGUCUCACCCUCCUCACUCUCACGGUCCCACCCUCCUCACGCUCACCCUCACUCUCACUCUCACCCUCAACCUCACUCUCAUUGAAAGUCUCACUUUGGUGUUCCUCUUCACUAUCUAAUCUAUCACAAUGAACCUGGUUUAGGGUUUGAUGUGAGACUAUGUUUGAUUUUUAGUUUGAUUUGUGGUUUUGUUCUAUUUGAUACCUUGUUUGAUUUGAGGUUAUUUUUUAUUUACGGUUCUAUUUGAUUUGGGGUUUUGUUUCUAUUUAGAUUUCUCACUUCCAUAUUUUUGAUUCUAUUACCAGAUAGGUUUGCUAAAUUGGUUUGCCAAGCUUGCUCAGAUGAGGAACAAUGGUAGAGGUGGUGCAACUGUUGUUGGAGUUUUUAUUCUAAAACAUUAUCCAUCUUCAACGUCUCUGAUUCCUAUUUCAUUCUUUUUUGGAGCUUUCUAUUUUAAUUUAAGAUUUGAAGCUUGUUAGCAUUAUCCAUCAAUCUUAAUCAUUACAUGCAUGCUCUAUUUUGUUCAAAUUUUUCUUACCUAUUAUUUUUAGAUUUCUGAGGUAUAUGCAAUAGCAUAAUGAGGCAAUUGCUCAAUCUUUUCUAGAAUACCUGCAAGUUCAAUCUUUAGGACAAUAUAUUUUUACUUCCAUGAAGCCAUUCUACUAAUUAUAAAUUGCCUUUAAUUUUCUUAAAUGACCACUUCAAGUGGUUAUUGAUCCUUUAUAGUAUUUUUUAUUGGAAGUUCUUAUGUCUCCAUUGGACCUCUUUGAUUUAUGCAUUACAUCAUUUAAGCAUUAUGUUCCAGACACUUCAAAAUUUGGUUGUUAAGAAUAUGCGGAAACCAGCUACUGAAGUGUUUCAACCCCAAUAAGUUGUUGAAGUGUUUUAGUGUUUCAUUAUUUUUCUCUCUUCCUUAUUUCUCCCCCAUCCUA